rnacentral:rRNA from 1 species
GACGAACGCUGGCGGCGUGCUUAACACAUGCAAGUCGAACGGAAAGACCCUGUCUUGGGGGGACGCUCGACUGACGAACGGGUAACUAGCACGUAAGUUACCUACAACUUACUUUGAGAGAUCUUAAGGUAGCUGGAGCUCUUAACGUAUAGGAGUUCUUGCUGCUUGGGGGGGGAGGGAUGGUUUCGGUGGUUGGGGAUGGACUCGCGGCCUAUCAGCUUGUUGGUUGGGUAGUGGCUUACCAAGGCUUGGAUGGGUAGCCGGCCUGUGAGGGUGACCGGCCACAUUGGGACGGGAAUACGGCCCGGACUCCUACGGGAGGCAGCAGUGGGGAAUAUUGCACAAUGGGCGGAAGCCUGAUGCAGCAACGCCGCGUGCGGGAUGACGGCCUUCGGGUUGUAAACCGCUUUCGCCUGUGACGAAGCGUGAGUGACGGUAAUGGGUAAAGAAGCACCGGCUAACUACGUG